UUCGUGAGCCGGCCUCGCGGGUGGGAUGCGGGCUGAAGAGAGGAGGGAAGGGGGAGCGGCGCGAGGCGCGGGAUUGACUCAGCACCAGGUGCCGGGCUCCCGCAGGGCGUUGGCCACCUGUCCCGCCGCGCCGCGGGGACGGAGGGCGGCGGGGAGGCGCGGGCCGCUCGGGGGCCGCCGUCCGGCCGCUCCCUGCGAGUUCCAUCCGGGCACACUUGUAGGAAGUGCAAGUUGAGCCAAGUUUUCUGCAGUUCUCAUGAGGCAGCAGCAUUUCAGCAGGCAGAGCUGGAGGAGUCAAGCAGGCAGAAUCAGUGCACAAUUAGCAAGAGAAAAACAACAAAAUCUCCAUCCAAUUUGCUUCUAGCUUGACAGAUAAUGAAAAACAUUUCAGAUUUAUCCUUUCUGAAUUGCCCACAGCCCUAUUUCAUAUUCAAGAGUAAAGAAUCCAUCUCAGAUAAUAAUUUGUUGAACUCGUAGUACCAUUGUGAAAAUUAAUGGUUAUGUUAAGUGAGCAGAUAUUCAGCUCAUAUACAAUUCAUCAUAAAUUCAGGAAUGGCAAGAAAACUACAUCAAUUAGCACACGAUGAAGAUGUGAACAGUAAAUGUACAUUACAGUAUAUUACACUAUCUCCCUCAAAACACAUGACUAAUCUAGUAAUACUGAAAUAGUGAAGCAAUAAAAAUAAUUAAUACAUUAGGAAAAAUGAAGAACCAAUGACAGGACACCAAUGAACUCAGCAUGCCACGUACAAAAAAACAUUAGGACAACUUUGGUUAAGCAUACCAGGGCAAACACUUUGCCACAAAAUCUUUUACAGUUUCAUUUAACCUCAAAAUUACAGAGGGGCUGAGUAAUCCUGCCAGGAUUUGAAUUAGUGGUUCCAGGGAGACUAGGAGCUAAGCCACAGGUAGAACAGAGGAGGGUGGUCAGAAAAGGUGUGGAGCAGGCAGAGCAAACAGGAACGUCCAUUUCUGGACUUUAACUUCCACCCUCUUGUUUGCUCCUGCUGCACAAUUGCCUUUCUGUUAAUGAGACUACCUUUAACAUAGUGGACCAAAUUCAGCUCUGGCUCCUAGUGCUAAGUUCUUUGUGUUGUACCAGCAGGGCAAAGGGCUGUCCUAAUGGAGAAGCUGGCAAUAUCUGGACACCAAGAGCAAUCCAGCUGUGGUGUUAUCAGUGUAAAGUGUUCGUACCACUCGCUCCCAGUGCAGACCAGGAAACUCUUCAGGGCACUGCAUGGGCCAGGUCUGAGGUACCUCUUGCAACAGAAGCACCCAUAUGAAACAAGUUAAUCCCAGCCCUGCAAAGUUCUAAGGGAAAGGAAAAGUUGGCUUUGUCUACCUCUUGCAACAGGUUCUCCAUUCAGCUCAGCUUCUCUGAGUGGGCAAAUCAGCAGUUAAGUGCAACUGUCACUGUCUUAUGCACUCCAGAGGUUGCCUUUUUGUGUAUCUUCAGGUAUUUUACAUCCAGCAGUGACUUCUGUAGGCCCAGUUGCUGCCACUAACUCCAAUUGUCAUGACUGAAUCAUUUAUUAUUCUUGAAUAAAUGUCACUUACAAAUUAGCUCUGUAGUAAAAGUCUCUUUUCUUCCUAUCAGUAAGUCCAUUAAAUACUUGGAUCAGAUUACUAAGGUCAACUAAGAGUGCUAUUUCACAUCAAGGCUGCACCAAACCAACAGCUGAAAUAGGAAAGUCUUAGUCUCUGCUCCUCCACCUCUGCUCCUUCCGCCCUCAUUCUCCCUUGCUCUUGUUUCUCUGGCUUUUUCUCCCAGGGCUGGGUUCCCCCCUCUGAGCUGUACACACCCUACAAAUGAUUUCUGCACAUCAACACUUCCAAGCACACAUCCUUUGCGCAGUAUGUCACAUAGCACACCUCCCAUCCAGAACAACAGGCCCUUUCUUCCAGCUUCUGUCCAGCAAAACGUCUUAGUCCAUACACCUAGCCACAGCCCAAAAUAGAGUAAGGAGGGGGAUGGCUGGGCCAUAUUUGGGCUAUGUUUUAAUAGGCUGGGUUUCAUGCACAACAAAGCUGUGGAAAGCAUUUGGGAUAUUUGCAGUUAGCAAGGUAGCUACACGUAAGGAGGUUGAUACGUGCAUUCAACUUAAAGCAGAAGGUAUGAUUCUGCUAACAUCAUUUAGGUGGAGAAUUUCACCACUCAGCUAUUUCUGUGAGCCUUUGCAGUACCACUGGAGUUCUUUCAAACUGAGCCUAAGAAUUAUAUAGUCCCUCUAGCUGUAGCAUUAGAGCACCUCCCAAGUAUUUAAAAAUAGAAGUCACAGUAACAAUCUCCCUUUCUUAUUUGGCAGCCAGGAGAAGAAAUACUUGGUGUAACUUAUACAUUUGUUUGCAUAUUCAUGGGUGGGAGCAAGUUAUUUGUUGAUGUGUUUGUGAGAAAAAUUAAGUUUGUCUCAGUGACUUAAAAUUAUUUUAGCACAGAAAAUGAUGACUUCAGUGACUUCAGUGGCAGUUUUACACAUACGCAUAUUGCAACUCAAUGAACCGCCUUGUGCCCCCUUGGAUUUCUGAGGCUUUGCCUAGAGGGCUAAGGCGUGGUCAAGGCUGCAACCUAGAGCAUGUUGUUCCUGUUAAUUAGCUGUUGGGGUCUCCACAACAUGAAGAACUUUCCGUCCCCUCGUUUCUGCUUCUGGGCAAAGCACACCACUGCUUCUGAAAUGCUUCAGUCCUCUGGAAAGCCUUUUCAAACACUCGAACAGGCCACCCAUGUGGCAUAGACAUCAACUGUUUAUUUGUGGAGGCUUCUCUCUAAUAGGAAAAUGUGCUGCUUCACUCCACACCCUUUGUCAGCCAGAGCAGCUGACUGCCACAGGAUGUAGUGUCUAUCAAGAACCAGGUCCUUGGAUCCCAGAUGUGUGUAUGCAUGAAGUAUGGCCCUCGGUUCACACAUCUAUACAUUCAGGAGGGACACACUUCAGACUGAGGUCAUCACAUUACUGAGAAAGGCAAAGAACAUUUUAAAUCUUCCCAGGUUAGCAAUUUAUCAAGGAUAAAGCCCAGAAGGUGGCUGAGCCUGGAUAAUCCAUGGAAAAUGAUUAAACCACAAUCUGGAUAAAUUAAAGAUCAGUAUUUAGUGGGGAUGGGAAGGAUAGAGAAUGGAAAUGGAAGAAUUCAAUCCAGUCACCUGACUCCAAAUAUAAAUUGGAGGUAAAUACGGGGUACAUAAAGCUAGAAUACCUUCCCAAACUGAGAUUAUCAUACAUGAUCUAAAGACACAGGAUGUCUUUAGACACUAAGACUGAAUGUCCAAACUUUUGAUAGCUUGUCAGGUAGAUGCAGGGAUGAAAGAAAGAUCAAGGGACAUUUCUUCCCUGGGUGUGAUCCUAAAUAAAGUAGAUAACUUUACUUUUCUUUCCUUUCUGCCUCCUAUUCAAGGAAAAAAGAAGGAAAUAAAACACACACACACACACAAAAAAAAACAGUUUCUUAGUGCUCUAUUGUUACUAGCUAAUUUCUUUUCAUAAAUCCAAAUUUUAACAUGUUUGUCCACAAUACUUGCAUCCUUUUGCUUCUUGAAGCUCCAGAUUUUCUGGGGAAGUAUCCUUCAAACAAUGAAAAACUUUGGCAAAAGGAGCUUCUAUAAUACUCAUUAUGGACUUGGAGGGCUGAAAAUGGCCAGAGCUUCUCUUUCUCCCCGGGAGAGUAAUGCAGGUAAUGUGGUGCCAUCUCAUAGCCUUUUGAAAGAUGCAAGAUAUCACCCCAACAGGAGCCUCCCUUGUAAUAUAGUCCCCAUGGACAGAUGAUGCAACAGGUGAGCUGCUGCUGCUGAGCUGCUGGAUGCCAAUUUGCCUCUGUUGCAACAAAUCCUACUCUGGCUGGAUCUUUGUCCCCAUUCCCACUGUUCCACUCAGCUCAUCAAACCUUGUUUUGGAGGCUUCCUGAUGAGCACCUGCUUUUCUCACCCCUGGCUUAGAAUAGCUUAAGCCUCCCAUGAUGCCUGCUUUGAAUCCAGUCUCUUCAACCACACAACCAGCCAAGUGAGCUAAAGGUUCUUUUGUCUAUCCCAAAUCACGGCUGACCAACAAACCUGGAACAAACAUGACCCAACAGCUUCUAUAUCGUCAUGUGCAAUUAGUGACACACAGAGUUAACUAUGGCUUUUCCUCACUCCAAUAACACCUCUAUGUCUGAACAACUUUCUAAAAUUUUCAGAGGCUUGUUCAUCGAGUCCAUGCAUAUUCCAGCAUGCUACAUCAGGAUUUGUCUAGCUGGUCUUAAAGGAAGCAAAUCACUUUUCAUUUCACCAUUCCGAACUAGCAUUUCCUGCACAAAAUCAGAAUUGUUAUGGUUGGAAAGCAUAUCUGAAAAUCAUCUAGUCCAUACUUGUCC